AUACGUAGGGGGCAAGCGUUAUCCGGAUUUACUGGGUGUAAAGGGAGUCGUAGACGGUUCUGCAAAGUCUGGAGUGAAAGCCCGGGGCUCAACCCCGGGACUGCUUUGGAAACUGUGGAACUGGAGUGCAGGAGAGGUAAGUGGAAUUCCUAGUGCAGCGGUGAAAUGCGUAGAUAUUAGGAGGAACACCAGUGGCGAAGGCGGCUUACUGGACUGUAACUGACGUUGAGGCUCGAAAGCGUGGGGAGC
rnacentral:rRNA from 1 species